AGUGAACGCUGGCGGUAGGCCUAACACAUGCAAGUCGAACGGCAGCACAGUAAGAGCUUGCUCUUACGGGUGGCGAGUGGCGGACGGGUGAGGAAUACAUCGGAAUCUACUUUUUCGUGGGGGAUAACGUAGGGAAACUUACGCUAAUACCGCAUACGACCUACGGGUGAAAGCAGGGGAUCUUCGGACCUUGCGCGAUUGAAUGAGCCGAUGUCGGAUUAGCUAGUUGGCGGGGUAAAGGCCCACCAAGGCGGCGAUCCGUAGCUGGUCUGAGAGGAUGAGUAGCCACACUGGAACUGAGACACGGUCCAGACUCCUACGGGAGGCAGCAGUGGGGAAUAUUGGACAAUGGGCGCAAGCCUGAUCCAGCCAUACCGCGUGGGUGAAGAAGGCCUUCGGGUUGUAAAGCCCUUUUGUUGGGAAAGAAAAGCAGCAGGUUAAUACCCCGCUGUUCUGACGGUACCCAAAGAAUAAGCACCGGCUAACUUCGUG
rnacentral:rRNA from 1 species